rnacentral:lncRNA from 1 species
UCCCGCCACUUUCAAAAGUUAUGUCCAAUUAUUUAUUUUAACAUUUUUAUUAGUUUAUUUUUUUACAUUUGUAAUUCCUGGUCUUUAAAAGCUUACUAUGCAGUAUACAUGUUGGUUUUGCAAAUAGUUACAAGCUGCAUGGAGGAAUAUACAACUGCUUACCAAAUACCAUUGACUUUUCAUAAGUUGUCCUUUUUGAACAAACCUUUGGUUUUCUAGUUUGAAUGACUAGUAAUUUCUGGGCCCUUUAUAGCUUGUUGUUCGGUGUGAGCCAAGAAAUUAAAAGUGACAAAGUUUAUCCAACUGCACACCAAAUAUCAUUGACCAUUCACUAGUGGUUCCUCAAUAACUGACCUAAUCAAAAACUAAUACAUAUUAGCACAGGCACUUGUCUCAAAAUUUGUUUCCCCUAUAUACCUUAAUAUAACGUUAUAUUAAGGUAUAUAGGGAAAAAAAAUUUGAGACAAGUGCCUGUGCAUAUUAGCCAAUAGACCAUGACAAAGGGGGUGGGCUAAAUAUUCUGGUAAUGAGAUAUAUACUACAUUAUUUAUGUAUGUUCCUGUCCCAAGUCAGGAGCCUGUAAUUCAGUAGCUGUCGUUUGUUUAUGUGUUACAUACAGUUGAAAGGGGUGUAUAGUCCGCGGUUUUUUACCGUGGGAAUGAAAUUGAUGGAAGGGGUGCGGACUAUGCAGUACUAUAGGAUUUCAUGACAUUUUUUUCCAGAGUUGGGAUACGAUGUUGAACGAGGUUUGGCCAAGUAAACAGAAACAUCAUGUGUUGUCAAUGUUAUAAUGUAUUCUUGACAACUCUUUGUAUUAUUUAGAAAUAAAAAUAUUCUUGACUACUCUUUGUUAUUAUUUUUAGAUAAAAUAAACAAUCUAACAGUGUUGACUUAGUAAUUUGCAUAAAAAUCAGCCUUUGAUCGAAUGUCCGCUUUGUUUCGGAUUUGGUAAAAUUUGUGUCAUUGCAUCUUGACAGUGUACAUGAAUCCUGAAUAUCAAUAAAAGAUGAACCCUUCAAUGGUAAAACCAUUAUAGUCAAGAUAAAACCUAGUGAAAUCUUCCCAAGAUCGAUUUCGUUUAAUGUUAUUCACGUGUGUACAAAGUAAACAACGAUGCGCCAUUUUAAAUAUGUGUGAUUAAAGUAUCAAAAUUUUCGUAUUCCGACUUUUUGUGUUUAACUCUUAACUUAUCGACUCAAAUAAAUCAAGACCUAACAUUUUUUAAUUGUAAAUUGUAACCAUUAAUACUGAAAGUGUAAACCUGAAAGAAGUGGAAUUUUGUAUACGAAACUAUAUUUCCAGGUGAAAGGUCACAUUGUACAGGUGUAUAGCCUUACAUGAAUGAGUUUACAGGUUUGUGUGUAAAGCAAUUAAUUAACCAUGUCAACUUUAGAUUUUCGUCUAAGUUCAGUAUUUUUGUGAUUUUACUUUUAACUAAAACACGAUAAAGGAAACCAUCUUGAAAUGACCUUAAUUGACAUCGACAAAAUCUAUAAAUACGUAUUCAAAUGAGGUCCCGAUUGACAUUGCAAUGGCCCUGAUCGAGUAUAAUGUGUGGGGGUUUACACGAUACAUAGCAAGUACGGAGAGACACGAUGACAAAUAAUAACAUCAGCUUGCAUUAAAUAAUUAAAUAAAAUACAUAUCUUCAUACAAUGUAGAAAUAAAAUAAUCAAGUAUUCUUACAAAUUCAAGACUUAUACAGAGAGGAAGUAAGACGAUGCUUUUAAAUAUUUACCUUUAGUAGGAUGGAAUCCACCAAAUUCAACGGCGUAAUAGCCGCAAAAUAAUAUUCAUGCGCCAUUCAUGUCAUUUGGCAAAUUUUAAUGCCUUCAUUACAAACAUUUUCGGCGAUGAAAUUAUUCUUACAAUAGUUCACUUACAUCUUCAUCAAAAGCACAGACGAUAAAAAGCUAUGCUUAACUUUUUAAUUAGCACUUUUUCAAAUGGGGAACAUCAAUUGUUUUGGGAAAAUCGACGAUCAUUUAAGGUAAUCUUUCUUAUAUUUAUUGUUUUUUAUAACAAAAAGUGUGAAAAAAAUGUCUAAUUAGUUAUAAAGAAUCUACCAGACCCGCCAGAUCAGAGCAAUGGCACUUUUUCAAAAAUUUCCUGGGGGGAACCCAAAUCCAGGGUGCUCGCAUAAGGCAGCUUAACUGCCUAAAAAC